UGCUUUCAGAGAUGCUAGAAGAGUCUC
rnacentral:sRNA from 1 species